rnacentral:tRNA from 1 species
CUGUGUGUAGCGCAGCCUGGUAGCGCGUCUGGUUUGGAACCAGAAGGUCGCUGGUUCGAAUCCAGCCACGCAGACCA